CUUGGUCAUUUAGAGGAGUAAAAGUCGUAACAAGGUCUCCGUUGGUGAACCAGCGGAGGGAUCAUUACAGAGUUCUAAAAGACUCCCAAAACCAUUGUGAACGUACCCGUCAGCGUUGCCUCGGCGGGCGGCCCCUCCCUGGGGCCGCUGCCUCCCUCGGGGGGUGCCCGCCGGCGUACCAAAACUCUUUUGUAUUUUAGUGGCCUCUCUGAGAAAACAAGCAAAUAAGUUAAAACUUUCAACAACGGAUCUCUUGGUUCUGGCAUCGAUGAAGAACGCAGCGAAAUGCGAUAAGUAAUGUGAAUUGCAGAAUUCAGUGAAUCAUCGAAUCUUUGAACGCACAUUGCGCCCGCCAGUACUCUGGCGGGCAUGCCUGUUCGAGCGUCAUUUCAACCCUCAAGCCCUGCUUGGUGUUGGGGUCCUACGGCUGCCGUAGGCCCUGAAAGCUAGUGGCGGGCUCGCUAUAACUCCGAGCGUAGUAGUAAAAUAUCUCGCUAGGGAGGUGUCGCGGGUUCCGGCCGUGAAAGCCCAUCUUUUACACAAGGUUGACCUCGGAUCGGGUAGGAAUACCCGCUGAACUUAAGCAUAUCAAUAAGCGGAGGA
rnacentral:rRNA from 1 species